rnacentral:lncRNA from 1 species
GCCGGAGGCGUCCCCGGGGCCGCGGGCAGCAGGGGGGCGACAGGCGCUGGCCGGACCCGGCGGCGGGGCUGGGGCACAGCGGCUCCGCUCGGAGGCCCCCUGACCCAGGGCACGUGUCUCCGCCGCCCGCCGCGAGGGGGGCUGUCACCCGGGGCCCCGCAGGAGCCGAGGCCACCGAAGCGGCCCGGCCAAGGUUUCCCAGGGGGCCGCGCCCGGGCGGGCAGGUCUCGGGUCCUUGGCCACCCUGCCCCGCCCUGCCCCGCCGCCCAUCAGGGCCUCCCCACCUCUGACCCACCCUGGCCAGGCUCUCCCCGCGUCCCCUCCGCUGUCGCUUCUCUCCAAUUUGAAAACUCAAUUUAAAACACAACCGUGAUCCAGGUGCCUUGGACGUAAGCCCCAUGACCCUUGAGGCCCUGGACAGCUGGGUCCUGUGCGCAUCCCCGCCCUCACCCAAACUGGGGCCAGAUAACAGCCCCUGCAGCCUCUCAAUCCCCUCUGGACCCUAACCCAUGCCGCCCCAUCAGGACCCUGACCCAAACAGCUUCUGUCCCCCAAGGAGUCCCCUCUUCCAGGAAGCCUCCUAGGGAAGACCAACGCUGCAGAGGCCUUGGCCCAAGGCCCAGGGGAGCGGGGCCACACAGUGCCAACAGCCAGGGCCUAUGGAGGUCCAGAACGCCCAGACCCAGGCUUCCCAAGCAGGAAGCCCUCCCGCUGGCAAGCUCCCACUGGCCCUUCAGGACGCCGGACCUGAAAUACGACGCCGGUUCAAGCCCUGCGGCUGUAGCACUGAGACUUGGCACGACUGGACGAGCUCCCGGUCUCCGUCCCACGCCCCCCCCCCGCCACAAUCUGCCCCGCAGAACUAGCCUGGGGUGGCACAGUGGGCCCCACACAUGGUGCUCUUCACAUUGUCCUUCACCCCGACAGGCGGCGCCCCGGCUCCGUGCCAGGCUCCGUCAGAGGGCCGGGGACGGGAUGCCCGCAGCCGGGGCCCGCCCUCAGGGUGGCAUCCUGGCAGCAGGUGCGAGGGCCGGGCGGUGCUCAGAUGGCGGGAGCGCUGGGCCGGGAAUUGGAGACAGCUGACGUGCGGCUUCGGCUCCCGCUCCCGGUGAG